rnacentral:rRNA from 1 species
UACAGGGGGUGCAAACGUUGCUCGGAAUCAUUGGGCGUAAAGCGCACGUAGGCGGUCUGUUAUGGUCGGAUGUGAAAGCCCUUGGCUUAACUGAGGAAGUGCAUCCGAAACUGGCAGGCUAGAGUACUAAAGAGGGUCGCGGAAUUCCCGGUGUAGAGGUGAAAUUCGUAGAUAUCGGGAAGGAACACCGGUGGCGAAGGCGGCGACCUGGGUAGAUACUGACGCUGAGGUGCGAAAGCGUGGGAGCAAACAGG